AAAUGAGCACAGCAACUGCAAAUAGUGAUGAUUUUAUUUUUUCUUUCCAGCCCUUCUGCCUCUGAAUUAUUUUUUUAAGUUAAUAUACUGGCAAGAACAUCCACUACAGGGAUGAAAGACGUGAGGGUCCUACAGGACCUUGCCUCAUUCCAGAUUUUAAAGGGACCGGCUUCUGAGUAAGAGAGAGAGGCGUGGCGUCUCAGCUAGAUCAGCACACCAUCCACAGCUUUCCUGUGCAUCACUACAGCUACUGAGGACUGGUGACAUGACAUAUCUGUCAGGGCCUGGGCUGCCUGUGGGGCCAGUGGUGUGAUGGCUGGAGCCGCUCGGCUAGAGGGUGACCAGCCAGCCGGGAGGGCAGCUCGGGAAG